rnacentral:lncRNA from 1 species
GCCACUUGUAGGGCAAAAUAAUGACAGUGGGGGGAAAAUAUAGACCAACAUAGUCAAAGGCCAACCAAAAGUGGGUUACCUUUAAGGGAGAUGGAAGAGGGAUUUGAGAAGUGACUGUGAAAAAACUCCUUUUCUUUAUUCUUUUCAUGGAUUCUUAUAUGUAUACAGUUUACUGUGGUUGUGUUCAACCCAUUAUCCUUUGUGGCCUGGCUUCCCUUCCCUCUGAAUCCUUUUUUCUUCUUCCAUAACCUCCACUGGCUAUACCACUAUAGAAAAUGGCACCUCACAUCUAUAUUGUUAACAGUAAUUAGUGCCUCAGAAAGAGGUGGGAGCUCAUGGCUACCUCUUCUAUCUGUGGUAGAAGGUUGGAGGCCUGAUCCUGUGCAGAUGUUUACAGUUGCUGUGCCUACGCUUGGAAGAGCAACGCUAUGUCUGGGCGGUCCGGUCUCAGGACACUCUUUCUCAUCUUCUGGCUUUUAACAUUCUUUCUGCUCCCUACUCUCUGAUGUUUCCUGUGCUUCAGAAGGGAACAGAGUGUAAUGAUCUCUGACUUAUAUCUAAAUGCUUAGCCCUUGAUCAGUUACAGGACACAGACAUCAACCUGGAGCUGAUCUGUAAGUCCCGUGUGCACUGGUUACGUCCUUGGUAACUAUGAAGGUCUCUGCAGGCUGCUGAGAAAAUACAACUCUGGUGUCACUCAGCG